UUCAGACAUGGGCCUACAGAGCACACAGCUCGGAUUCUGUCACCGGGCUGAACCUCACAUCCUUUAUGGGACAGCAGCCACAAGAAUUCUGCCACAGGACUCACUGCCUAGAAGUUUCAUGACUGGCAGCUUGAGACCCCAUCCCCACCCCUCCCUGUGCUUCUGGAGCAAAAGCCUCGUUUGCAGGGGACUUCAGCAGAGCCACCUGAGGCCAUCACUCCUCCUACCUACCCUACCAACAGAGCACACCAGCCACCUGCUCCAAGAGCCCAGGGAACCUCCUCUGUGGUUAACCUGUCCAUCUGACUGCACCAGCCUCUCCUACUCUGAGCUGCUCAGUUCCUGGCUUCCCCCUCUGGCAGGCCCCGCUAUCUGACCUGCAGUCAUUCCAAGAGCAGAUUCUCCAGCCCUGGCCUGGAGAAUCUUUCAAGCACCCAGUUUCAGCCAGAAUCCACUGGUAUACAUAGCUCCAGACAACUCCAGUGAAGAAAAACGUUGGCACUGUGGAAGAGCUCACAGAAGCCACAUUGAGUCCCAGAGACUCACAAGGCGGGAGGAAGUCUGCUGGGUCUGGCUCCCCAAGGACAUCAGGAGACCACAGUAAUUCUGAGACUAAUUGUCCUCAUGCUCGCCCUCAUCAGCUUUGAGAAGGAUAACGGAUUGCCAUACUUGGGGACGUUGUAUUUGGGAGCUGCCAAGCACUUGCCAACCCCACAGCUUCCACCUCUUCUGCCCUUCUCCCAGAGCGGCCAGUUCUAUGCACCG